rnacentral:rRNA from 1 species
UACGUAGGGGGCAAGCGUUGUCCGGAAUCAUUGGGCGUAAAGAGCGUGUAGGCGGCCCGGUAAGUCCGCCGUGAAAGUCCAGGGCUCAACCCUGGAAUGCCGGUGGAAACUGCCGGGCUGGAGUCCGGAAGAGGCGAGUGGAAUUCCUGGUGUAGCGGUGGAAUGCGCAGAUAUCAGGAGGAACAUCCGUGGCGAAGGCGGCUCUCUGGUACGGUACUGACGCUGAGACGCGAAAGCGUGGGGAGCGAACAGG